GAGGCAGCAAGGGGGAAUAUUGCACAAUGGGAGCAAGCCUGAUGCAACCAUGCCGUGUGUGUGAAGAAGGCCUUCAGGUUGUAAAGCACUUUCAGCGAGGAGGAAGGUGGUGAGCUUCAUACGUUCAUCAAUUGACGUCACUCGCAGAAGAAGCACCGGCUAACUCCGUGCCAGCAGCCGCGGUAAUACGGAGGGUGCAAGCGUUAAUCGGAAUUACUGGGGGUAAAGCGCACGCAGGCGGUUUGAUAAGUCAGAUGUGAAAUCCCCGGGUUCAAAAUGGGAACGGCAUAUGAAACUGGCAAGCGAGAGUAUCGUAGAGGGGGGUAGAAUUCCAGGUGUAGCGGUGAAAUGCGUAGAGAUCUGGAGGAAUACCGGUGGCGAAGGCGGCCGCCUGGACGAAGANGGACGGUCAGGUGCGAAAGCGUGGGG
rnacentral:rRNA from 1 species